rnacentral:misc_RNA from 1 species
UAAAAAGCAAUUUUGGCCCUCUAACUACAAUAUCAAACAGUCACUAAGCCAAUUGCUAGAAACUUUUUCUACUGCCAUUUCCUUCACAUCCCCUGCUGCUGAGGACUUGGAGAAAAACAGCCUUAUUUGAUACAACUAAAGAUUAAUUAGCUAUGACAUAAUUUCUAGAUUUCUGAAACAAAAUCCGGAAAGCAAGAUAAAAUUGUAGCUGCUAGUUGAACCUUGCGAUUGCCAGUAGAAAGAACAGAGGCCAAGUAAUGAACUGUUACAAAAUGAAAAUUUCUAAGCAUAUGAUGAAA